GCCUGAGUGGCGGAACUGGCAGACGCACAGGACUUAAAAUCCUGCGAGAUUUAACCCUCGUACCGGUUCGAUUCCGGUCUCAGGCACCA
rnacentral:tRNA from 1 species